CAUCGAAGGUGUGAAUGCAGGUGGAAGCAUACAUAGGAAGGAGGGAGGGGGGUUAAGUGCACAGCAAUGAGACAGUUAGUGAGGAAAGUCCAGGUGAUGACUUUGUUGGGUUGGGUGGAAAUGCAUCAAUGCCAUCAUCUGUCAUCGGUCUUGCUGUGUCUCCUCACCCGGUCUUGCGGCCUUGACAGCUCACAAUAUGCCCCUCGCCCCUAACCCUAACCCUUCCUCCCUCUCUAGCCCUAACCCUGCUCUACCCUGCACUGCCAUGUCCUUCUCCUCCUCCUCCCCCGUUCCGUUUCCUUUUUCUGCUUUAUUGCUCUCGUGACUCUCGCCACCCCUUCGCUUUCCCGAUGCCUGCAAUCUAACGAACGCAUCACUGCCAUCUCCACCUCCACGUCAUUUGCACUGGAACCUGCCCUUUCCCUCGCCUCUCGUUUCUCUGCCUGCCUGUGUCCCAGCCCCGGGUUGGUGUGCCUUCCCAACUUUGAUUCUCUCCAAUUCUUAGGUACACUUGACACUUAAGUGAUCGUAGGCUGAUACGUUAUGACAUCAGCACUUCGUUUCUAGUGAAGAGGGUCUGCAUGCAAUUCCGUUUUAUUUUUUGCAAGUGUACUUUUUUUUUUUCAUCGGAAACGAGGGUCUAUCGAUCUGUACCGUGUCUCUUUCGUUUCUGUGGGUAGCUACAUGUUUGUCAACUACAUACCUACCUAGCUUAAAAGCAGUCACAGAUCAUUUUAGGUUAUCCCUGCAUCAUGCUAUUUGGAAACGCAAACAUGGAUUCUUUCUGCCGACAGUCUACUUUCUGGUUUGAAGCAAUUUUAGGUUUUCUGAGUCAUUGAAGUUCUGAGGUGGUGAUAUUAAAUCUGAAUCUUUUAUGAGGUAGGAGCUCAAUUCAGCAAGAACUGCUUAUCGUGCUUGAUAUCCAGUUCAACAGGUGUACCCCCCGUCCUCAUAUUGAUCGAAACAAUUAUGUAGUUUGUCUGGGAUUGGACGAGAAAAUUAACUUAGUUGACCGUUUAACCAUGUACACCAUGAAAUUUCAAGCCUUCAUGGGUUUAUAAUUCUUUUGGUUGAAAAAAUGGUGCUUGGAAGGAACAAUUACUGUACUGAUUCCCGUUUCUCAUGGGUAGUUCCAUGAUCAGCAUCUCGUCCGUAAUGAAGAUGUCACCGAGUGGUCGGAAUAUGUGCUCGGAAAUUUCACGGAUGGGUGCUUUCCAAAAUGUGUUACGUCUUUCAACCAGAUAGGUUGUACUGUUUACUCUUCAUUCACGUUCGUAGUUUCUCAUCGACGACGAUUAGUUGCGCAAUUGUCUUUUUCGAAAUAUCAUAACAAUUUGUCACUAUCACGGCGUCCGGUAUUACGGAAGUUCCAGGAGUACGCAAGUGGAGCUGAUGUGACUACGAUAUUUAUAUCCGGGAGCUUGUUUAUCAGCAGAUUUUCUCCUUCGCUAGUGCAUGUGCGGUAUCGUUUGCGCGUAGAUUUCACACCAUCGACUGCGCCGUCUGUAGACACACUUUCUUUUCAGGUGAAUGUUG